GAAACUGUUUCUAUGCGUUCCCCGGGUUUACCCUUUACUGACUUAAGUACUGAAGGCUUGGACUGGUUUAAACCAGUCACAUGCGGAGACUGAAUGCGCGCGGGCCUCCCCGCCACUGGCCGAUCCUGUGCUGCCCCUGAACGUUUUCGGGGACCUUCCUUGGCCAAGCCUUUCCCGAGGCCCCUUAGUAAAAUGAGGAGUCAUCUAUUCGUUCCGCGGUGAUUGAGGGCUUGCUAGAUAGAGCCUCACGCUACAACCAAGCUGGCCUCAAUCUAGAAAUCUUCUUGCCUCUACCUCCCGAGUCCUGAGAUUAUAGGCAUAUAUCACCAUGGCUGACUGCUUCUUUAUUUUCCGUACAUGGAACUCUGCAUCCUGACUUUUGUGUACACUGCAUUUGAAAUCACUGCUCCAAAAGUCUCCAGUGCCUAGCAUGUAGUUAAACUCAUAUGGUUUUGGAAACUGUGAUUAAACCUUAGCUUGA